rnacentral:lncRNA from 10 species
UUUCUUUCUUUCUAUCACUGUAGAUUCAUUUGUAUUUCAUAGAAUUUUAUGUAAAUGUCUAGCUUUUCACUCUGCAAAGUCAAUCAGAGUUAUCUGUGUUGUUGCAUGUCUCAAUAAUUUAUUCUUUGUUUUGCAGAGUAGUAUUCCCUUGUAGGAACAUUCCACAGUAUGAGACAAGGCCCUGCAGAGAAACUCUACAUAGAAAGGGUCUCCAUGGGGCUGGGCACUGUGGCUCACACCUGUAAUCCCAGCACUUUGGGAGGCUGAGGUGGGCGGAUCACAAGGUCAGGAGAUGGAGACCAUCCUGGCCAACAUGGUGAAACCCCAUCUCUAAUAAAAACACAAAAAUUAGCUGGGUGUGGUGGCACAUGCCUGGAAUCCCAGCUACUUGGGAGGCUGAGGCACGAGAGUCGCUUGAACCCAGGAGGUGGAGGUUGCAGUGAGCUGAGAUUGCGCCACUGCAUGCCAGCCUGGGUGACAGAGUGAGACUCCACUUAAAAAAAAUUAAAAAAAAAAAAAUAAUAAUAAUAAAAAAAGAAAGAGUCUCCAUGGAACACUUGAUCCCUAAUUGGCAGAAGAGGUCAAGGAAAAACACUAAUGUGAAACAAGGGCAAAAGGUGCAAGAAAAUUAAAAGGCAGUUAAUAACUUCAGGAAAAAUUAAAAAGCUCUAAUAUAAACGAAAUGUGGCUGGGUGUGGCGGCUCAUGCCUAUAUAAUCCCAGCACUUUGAGAAGCUGAAGUGGGCAGAUCGCUUGAGGCUAGGAGUUUGAGACCAGCCUUGGUAACGUAGCAAAACCCCAUCUGUACGAAAAAUAUAAAAAUUAGCUGGGCAUGGUGGCCUGUGCUUGUAGUCCCAGCUAUUGAGGGGAGAGCAGCUAAGGUGGGAGGAUUGCUUGAGCCUGGGAGGUCAGGCUGCAGUGAGCUGUGAUUGUGCCACUGCACUCCAGCCUGGGCAACAGAGCGAGACCCUGUCUCAAAAAAAAAAAAAAAGAAAUGUAAUUAUAGUGAACACUAGCUCGGCAGUGAAAAAUACUGCAAAGUCACAUCAUCAAUGUGCUUUCAAAAUCAAACUGUAGGCCUAAAUAUAGCUAUAGAAGAAUGUAAACAAGGAAGCAAAUGUAAUCAGAAGCUGAGCAGUAGGAGAGAGGAGGUGGGGUGAAAAGGGAAGGAUGAGGAAGGUGGGGGUGUGCAAGGCUCUUGCUUACCUGGGUACCCGACAGGUGAGAUGGCUGUAGCAGACACUGGCAGUUCCCUGCCCACACACCUGGCCCUGACCACGGCUGCACAAGGCAGCUCUGUGUGCAAUUGCCAGCAUCUGCUUUGGUGUUGCUCUUGGUGCUGGAGCUUACUUGCUGCCCAUGUGACAGGAGCAGCUCUAAACCAGUGGUCGUGAGCUCUGUUUCGCACUGGCUCCCAUUUCUACACUGGGUCUGGUGCAGGUGCCUAUGGUGGCAGCUGGUGUGAUGAUUUGCCCUUUACUGAUGGCCUUCUCCUCAUCUUACUUUCCCAUCCUGUCCUUGAAUCAUCCAUUUCAGGAUCUGCCUCUGAAAGAACCCAAACUAAGGCAGUCAAUCCACCACAGACAGACAAGGAAAUAGAAGCAGAGCGUUUUAUUUAGAGAUUAUGGAGGAAAAUACGAAAAGAAGCAACUAACAGAACUGCAGGUCAUUACCUCUAGGGACCAAGACUAGAGGUGGGAAGGGGCGGAAGAGGAGACCAUGCUUUUAAAUAUAUGCAUGGCAUGUGCUACUUUAAUAUAAUUAAAAACAAUCACUUAAAGCAAAUUGGAACAGUGUAACAAAUGAAAUCAAAUGAAAUCAAAAGGAGAGAGCACAAAUAUAUCUGAGUAACUUGGUCUGUCCCCCAGCCCCCUUAAUGUUGUUACCUGAAUAUGUCAAUUGUUGUCAAAAGACAAGCAUAAACUGAAAUCGAUUAUUGUAUGGAUCUGAACCGAUGGAAAAUAUUCUCUGUACAGCAAUUUUAAAAGUAUAAUGGUAAUCACUGUGUUAGGGAUUAAGUAUACUUCCCACCCUGUGUUUUUGCCAUUGUAUAGGAAAAAUCAUGCAGAAUACAUUGAUAAUCACUGUAGAAAUGAGAUGAGAUUUAUUAACUAAAACACUUAGCACUUCACCUGGCACUACUUUAUGAAGAAGCACUUUGUAUAGGGCACUAUGUGUAGUUUAUAUAUAUAAAGAAACAUUUGUGUAUUGGGUUUGAAUGUUACUUGUUGUUGUUGAAUAUUCUUCUGCUAGUCCACCCUGUCCCUGAUGGAAGCUAUGCCCCCGGAUCAGAAACGCUUGAUGCUCAAGCGGUCCUGGGAAACCACUAUUGCAAGUAACUGUCAGUGCCCUCUACUUUCCACUAGAUGGCAGACUUCCCCCAGCUCUGUGGACGGCAGAUACCCAGGAGAGGAGGACAGAGCUUCAGAUCUUUGCUUUCUCCCUUUCCCUUGACCUGGAAAAUCACUGGGCUGCCUCUGAGGCCAGAUUUAGAUUUCCUGCACAAGCCAUCAUUACCUUGUUUAGAGGAGUGAAAUUAGGGUCGACCUGUCCUGUCAUUCCAGGACAGAAGGUGACAAAUAAGGUCCUUUAUGUGUAGCACUGAGGAGAAGGGCUUGUUCUUAAUUUUUAAGAUAUUUUCCAAAAAUAGAAAAAUUCUGUUUUACAAGUCAAAUAAGAAAUGAUUGAAAAACAAGUAUCACUGUUCAUAUACAGAGUCGUAGGUAAAUGUUCAGAUACAAAAAUUGUGACCAUAGAGCAUAUUUUUGGAUAUUUGUUUUCAUAGUGUGAUGAAUAUUUUUGUUUGCUUAAAAUUAUUUCAGAAGUAUAAUCAUAAUUCAAGCUUGAAAUACAAGAGUGGUAAAAUGAGAGCAAAAAUAAACAAGUAAUAAAACGCACCACAAAAUUUCUGACUCCAUUCCCUUUUAGGGAUUUCUUUUUUUACAAGAGUUAUUUUUAUUGAUUUGUGUGACACACUGGCUGACACGUUUUAAAAUAAAUAAACUUUGGGUUUCAGAUGAACACAGUUUGCAUGCUGUCUCUCUGGAACAAUACACAUCAGAGGAAGAAGUUAAUAGGAAAAUCAGGCAACCCAAACUGUGUUUUUUAGGUUAAUCAGGAAUUUCCUUCAAUUCUAGUAAACAGGUGGAAAUAGAAAUUUUGAGCUGAGAAAAGUAGGAAUCAGGACGUGGAAGGGAAAAGCUGGGUUCUGCUGCGGUGAUGUGGGUGACCCUUCAUGAUGAGCCAGCUGUCUAUUCUCCCAGCUCUCUCCCGGCGGUAGGAACUGAGAAGAGGCGCCCCUCGCUGCAGGCCCUUUGAUGCCUCUCCUCUCCCCUGUCCUUUCACCCCCGACUCUGUGAGUUGCUUUUAGAUAUCGUUCUUUACUUACCAAUUGUCUCUUUCUCCCCUGCUUGUUAACGUAUCAUGAAAAAACUGUGACGUGAUGACCCCCCAUGAAUGCCUCUGGAGGAAAAGUGCUAGAAAAUUUAAAAAGAAAAUUAAGGUGAUAAAACUGGCCUCAUUAAUCUGUUAAACUCCUUCAACAUUGCCAAAAACAGAGGUGAGCUUCUCAGCUCAGUUUCCCCAAAAUUCACAGAAAAAAUUACUGUGCUUGAAAAGAAAACACAGCGGGCCAGGCGCAGUGGCUCAUGCCUAUGACUCUAGCACUUUAGAAGGCCACGGUCAGAGAACUGCUUGAACCUAGGAGUUUGAGACCAGCCUGGGAACAUAGUAAGACCUCAUCUCUACAAAAAAAGGAGCAAAAAUUAACCAGGUGUGGUGGUGCAUGCCUGUAGUCCCAAGCUACAGGCUGGGAGGCAGAGGCAGGAGGAUCACUUGAGCCCAGGAGGUAGAGGUUACAGUGAGCUGAGAGGGCAUCACUGCACUGCAGCCUGGGCAACAGAGUGAGACCCCAUCCCCUCCCCACAAAAAGAAAAGAAAAACACAGAGGAUGUAAAAUGGAGCUGAGAUAGUGAUAUUCUGCCCAAUAUUUUAGGCAGUGCUGGGAUUUUCUCACUAAAUGAUCAAUAUUGAAAACUAAAAUAUUUUAUUAAAAUGAGAAAAAAUUAUCAAAGUGAAGAUUAAAAUUAUAAGGCUCAUUCAAAGAGACGAGGGUGUACUUAUAUAAUCUCCCAGUUUUAACUGCAAGAUGUUUCAUGACUUAUGAUGGGGUCAUGUCACAUCCUGAUAAACCCAUAGUAAGUCGAAAAUAGCAUAAGCCAAAAACGCAUUUAAUACCCCAAUAAACCAAUCAUGAAGCUGAAAAUCGUAAAUCAAACCGUCACUAAGUUGGGGACUGUCUGUAUUGUUUACUUUAAUAUUUUGGAAAGUUUUUUAGUGUGUGAUACCAAAAUCUACUUGACAUUUAAGCACUGAUUAACGCUAAUGAUUUUCACUGGGUCUUUUUUAAGCCCUAGCACAGCUGUUUGAAAACUUGGCUGAACAUUAGAACCACCUGGGCGGGAGCUGGGGUUAGCUUUUAAAACUCUCAGGUCAUAUCCCAGACCAAUUAAAGCAGAAUCUCUGGGGUGGGACACAGGCACCAGUAUUUUUAAAAUUCCCCCAGGUGAUUCCAACUGCUGCCAAGGUUGAGAACCACUGCAGUCUGGCUUCAUUCUGACCACUGUCUACACAUGAUGUUAGUAAUGGUUGGGAUUGAAGGACUAUAAAUACAAGGACAGUGUUUCCCAGUGCCCUCCCAAGUGGAGGAGGCCAGGAGGGAGAGAUGACGGGAUUUGCUGACCAAUUAGGUAGAGGUUUAAGAGAAGCUGUUAGGCCGAGGCGGACAGAUCACUUGAGGUCAGGAGUCCAAGGCCAGCCUGGCCAAUAUGGUGACACCCCCAUCUCUACUAAAA